CGUUCUCGCCGUAUCUCCCUGCAGUUCUCACCUGGUCUCCCACUGAAGCUAAGCAGGGUUGAGCCUGGCCAGUACUUGGAUGGGAGACCUCCUGGGGAAAACUAAGUGCUGGAAGUG
rnacentral:rRNA from 1 species